GACGAACGCUGGCGGCGUGCUUAACACAUGCAAGUCGAACGGAAAGGCCCUGCUUUUGUGGGGUGCUCGAGUGGCGAACGGGUGAGUAACACGUGAGUAACCUGCCCUUGACUUUGGGAUAACUUCAGGAAACUGGGGCUAAUACCGGAUAGUAGCUCCUGCUGCAUGGUGGGGGUUGGAAAGUUUCGGCGGUCGGGGAUGGACUCGCGGGUUAUCAGCUUGUUGGUGGGGUAGUGGCUUACCAAGGCUUUGACGGGUAGCCGGCCUGAGAGGAUGACCGGCCACAUGGGGACUGAGAUAAGGCCCAGACAGCUACGGGAGACAGCAGUGGGGAAUAUUGAAAAAGGGGAGGAAGCCUGAUGCAACAACGCCGCGUGCGGGAUGACGGACUUCGGAUUGGAAACCGCUUUCGCCUGUGACGAAGCAUGAGUGACGGAAAUGGAUAAAGAAGCACCGGCUAACUACGUG
rnacentral:rRNA from 1 species